rnacentral:lncRNA from 1 species
CUGAUAUCAAAAAUCGCUUUCAGUCCCACAAGGUUAGUAGCAAAGUGAAAAAUAGCAGGAGUGUCUGGUCACAACCUGGAGGGCACAAGGCAAAACAGACCUAAAUCCAAAAAUUGGCCAAACCUCAACCCAGUUCGGCUGAUCUCCAACUCACGAGUGUUGGCAGGAGCACAGGAGGCAGGCGGUGGACAAGACCCCUACUCCCUUGGGCCAGCGGUAUGGGCCAGACAUUUAGGAGAAUCUUGGCUCUCAACCGAUUUCUGCAAACUAUCUCAUCUUUAGCAGGAGGGAAGUUGCCAUUCCAUCAUGGCAAAUCAGACUGGAUGAAGGUUCACACAUACACAAGGAAACCCCAGGUAAAUGAAGGUUUGUAUAUCUGAUGCGACUAUAUGCACCUAUUAGAUAUUAUGAUUAUUGUGGAUGGAAGGGUUUAGAACAACAUGGGAAAAUGCUUGUUAUGACUUUAAGUGAAACCACAGUUUUGUAAACACAGGAUGAUCCCAACUAGGGAAAAAAGUGCUUCGCUGGAAAAAAAGCUCUCUUUAUAUCUUGCUGGAGGAAGAAAAGAUUCGUGUUAUAUAUCAUAUGCAGCUAUGUUAUAACUCUUGGAGUUUUCCUCUAUCAGGCACCAGAAUAUUCAUAGUAUUUGUGCUCAAGAGCUGUAAUCACGGAUGAAUUUUUCUUUGGCUAGUUUUCUUACAUCAUUCCUUGUUGUUUAAUGUAGCAAUAUGAGAAAAGAAAUAAAAGUCAAAUAAAAUAAAAACAUUCAUAAUUCUAUCCUGGAUAGAUAACAUUUUGGUGUUUUCUUUCCAGAUACUUUCAUAUGCAGAUAGACAUUUAAGUACAUUUAUUUUAUAAAAUUAGGAUCAUACUCUGCAUCUGGUGACUAUAGCUAUCAGCCUCACUGGCUGGUGCCACCCCCACCCUGGGGAAGCUUACUCUCUUCUCUGGGUGGAAAUUUAUGGGCACAGUAAUUUGUAAACCAACCAAGUCUGCGUGUUGCAUCUAAAAAAGAUGUUAGGCAAAAAAGCGAGAUAAUGUGCAAACUUCUCAGUUUCCGAGGUGGCAGCCCUCCCCCCGUAAUCUGAUGAGCUCUUUGCUUUUGUCCUAGGAAAAACAGCGAAGGGCAGGAUGGCUCAUCAAAUUUCUUGCCCUUGUCAAAUGGCGUGUGAACAGGAAAAUGUCAAGUGGUCACGCUGGAAGCACGUGGCCAGACCAGUGCCUUCAUGGAGAAGGGAGGGGGUGCCCACCAGGGUUUCCUCACCCUCCUGGUGCCCAGAUACAGGCACUGACAUUAUGCCACCCUCUCCGUGAUUGAGAUGUGUGCCCACUCAGUGGGUAGGGAGGCCCCAAGCUCUCUGAUGCUGCUGUGGCAGGCAGGAAGGACACAAUAAAGAGGCUGAUGAGGACGGCUUCUUCUCUUUUGUUCCCAACCAGCUGCCAGGAGAGGUGCGAGAAGGGAGAUACCCAGUCCCUGGGAGCUGGGAGCCACUUCGGGGUCCUGUAAUGGUUUCCUGGGCUGCUGUCACAAAAUUUCACAAAUUAGACAGCUUAAAACAACAGAGAUUUAUUCUCUCAUGGAAUGGAGGCUCAAAGUCUGAAAUCAAGGUGCCAGCAGGGCCAUGAGUGCUCAGAGGCCGCUAGGGGAGGAUCCUUCCAGGCCUCUUCUGGGGUCUGGUAGCCCCAGGUGCUCCUCGGUUUGUGGCUGCCUGACUCAGAGCUCCACCUCCCUCUUGCGUCCGCAUCUUCUCAUAGCACGGUCCCGUGUACGUGUGCGCGUGAGCGUGUGCAUGUGUGUGUGAAGUUCCCUCUUCUUAUAAGGACGCCACUCAUAUUGGAUUAGGGCCCAACCUAGUGACCUCAUCUUCACCUGAUGUGUCUGCAAAGACCCUCUAUUCCAGGGAGGUUGCAUUUACUGAUACUGGGAGUGAGAGCUUCAACACAUCCUUGUGGAGGCCAACUGAAUUUAUCUUUUCACUAUUUCUGAUACAUCUGGAGAGAUGACCAUAUAUGACAGACUAAGUAUCUAAAAAUCCUACAAUUCUGCCUUCCUUACACAGCUCAAUAACAUGCAGAAAAUCUUUUUUGUGUGCCUUCAUGACAAUUAUAGCUUUGGAAAAGUCAUUUAACUUGUCUGGGCCUUGGUUUUCUCAUUUAUUAAGCAAGCUAAAGCAGUGACUUUCUUUUUCUUAUUUUUUUUAUGUUUAUUCAUUUUUUUGAGAGAGAGCACAAGCAGGGGAGGGGCAGAGAGAGAGAGGGAGACACAGAAUCCGAAACAGGCUCCAGGCUCUGAGCUGUCAGCACAGAGCCCUAUGUGGCACCCAAAUUCAUGAACCGUGAGAUCAUGACCUGAGUCAGACGCUUAACCGGCUGAGCCACCCAGGCGCCUGAAGCAGCGACUUCCAAGGUGUUGGCCAAAAUAUCCUGGUAGAAAUUACGUGUCAUUCUGAUAACUUUGAACUGAUCCAAGAAUGCAAAUCUGUUCUGUUGUUCCUACAGGUGACUCACAGACAUGUUUCGUGGACUUUCCUCCUCACAUAGAACUAAAGGCUAUUUGCCAGUAACCCACAAAAAUUUGGUAUUCGUAAACUAAAAUUAGUGUUUGUACAGUUUACUAAGGACUCAAAUUUGUUUUUCCUCCUCUACUUUGCAUAGGAAUUUCUCCAAUUUUUGGGAGGAUUCUUUUCAGUUGGUUUUUCAGCAGUUGUUAUGAGCUGUUGUGGCUUUCAGUUGCUAUUAUUCAUACUUUUUAUUUAUAAAUUACUAUUGAUUUUGUGCCUUCAUUAUCCAUUUUAGUCAGAUGACAGGUUUUUGUUUGUCCUGAGUGGAUAUUUUUGGCCUAUAAAAUUGCCCACUAUCUAGACAUUGUAUAUAAAUGAAUUGCAAAUCAGCAAGCCAUGGCUCAUAUAUCCGUAUUGCUAACGGAGAUAUGUACAUAAUCCCUUACAGUUGGCUGGUGUGGUAGAGUGACCAGUCAUCCCAAUUUGCUCAGGACAGAGGGUUUUUCUGGGAUGCAGAUCUUUCAGUGCUAAAACCAGGAAAAUCUAGGCAGGCUGGCAUGAUUGUUCCCCUAUUAUUUAGGGACACUUCAUUGGUGUCUAGCUUGUCUGUGGAUUUAUGCUAUUCUAACAAUUUUUAUCUUACACUCCAGGUUAGUAGAGUAAAAUUAGUAGGGUUAUUUUUGAGGCCAGAGGGCAUUCAUUUAUAAUCAAGUAGAAAAUGUCAGGUUCUUCUCACAUAAAUAGGAAAUGAGUCACAAAUGUUGCAUGUUCACCAAGUUCAGUACCACUGAUUCAUCUGGUUCCUCUGCAGUUCUCAUCUCCUUCCCCUGAACCCCAUCCCCAUAAUUUACCAAAUUCAGAAGAGACAUGGAAUAGGUGGGGUGUUGGUGAUCUUUGGCUCCGUCCAAGUGGGUAUAGUCAAAAAAGUUUACGAAGCUGUGUAAAGGACUCAUGAUAAUGCCCCUCCCUGCUGCAGCCAACACUGGGAGUCCACUUUGACUUGGUUCAAGGUCCUAAACAAAUGCAGAGAAAGAAUCACAGCUUCAUGAAACAUUCCUAGAGGUCCUUACUGAGAAUUACCUAAAGCAUUGUUAAUUCUCCCCUACCUUAGGAAGAUUUCAUCAUUGAUACAGUCUCCUUUGGAUGGUGUCCAAUAUGGACUUUCUUAUUUGGCUCUACUGUAUCAUGGGGAAAAAGAGGAAGGAGAGCUGCCACUUAUUUACUCUUCCUCUUCAGCAUGUCAGAACUAGGAUUAGAGGCCUUUUGCUUUUGACUUAAUGUAAUUUAGACAUCACAACAGCUCCAUGAAGUAUGACUGACCCUACCUUGUAUAUCAGGAGGCUGUGUUGAAAUUCCAGCCCACCUGCCUUCGUCUGAAUGAGCUCAAACCCUGGUGUCCACACCACAGCCCACAGACUCUGCGGUCCCCCAAACCCUGGCACUCCACUCACCUGAACAGAGGUCACUGUCAAAUUAUGAGAGGGCCAAAGCUUUAAAAAGCCCAAGCAAGCCAUCGGGAGGUUGACAACUUAAAAAUAAAACCAACAAGUUCUCAGCCUAGAACAGAAGCUCCUCCUGGGUCCAUCCGUAGACCUCAUUGCCCCCAAUUUACCCCAAAUCCUGGGUGAUCCCUCCCCCACUGCUCAGGUUGCAUUUAGGUCUCUGAUGACUCAUGGGGCACCGGGGCCACCAUGAGCGGUAGCUGAACCAUCAAUGGAGGCAGGUCACAUCUCAUCUUUUUUUAACUUGGAAUGCUGUUCUAACACAAACAUUUUUCUGCCUUACAUUCCUAGAGGAGUUGUCCUUAAAAGUGGGUAGCGACCAUGUUGUGACCUAAUUCCUACUCAGCCAUAAGGUUUCUGCCCCCUGGCAGAGGACAGACACUCAGCAUUCCAGACGGGGUUAGUGGUGGGGCUGCUAUUUAUUUAACUGCUAAUCCCACUUAUGUGAAAUUAAUUUACUCUACUAUUAUAACUCACCCUGCUUCCUGCCCUGGCGGGCUCCUAUAAUUUACACCUGACUGCGCCAUUAUGCUCCUGCUUCCUGGACGAAGAGUUGGGUCUUGGGGUGACUCACAUUAGGGGGUCGUUUAUACAGCAGGGAGGUUUUCUCAUUAUAGACUGAGAAGAGUUACUAUAAAAGCAGUGGUGUUGGGUUUUUUUUUUUCCCUCUUAAUAACUAGUUCCCCUUUAGGCCAUCCCUUCAAGGAAGUUUGUUUACUAUUAUUAACCUUCUUCCCAACUCCGAAUAUGGGCUGCUCCAGUUCAUGCAGGGUGCAGAUGAGUCUCUUCCCCUGCUCCAGGGGAAAGUCAGCCGUUGGGAUUUCACCUGCCCCGAACCUUGACGAAAUGCAGGUCAGCUGGGGGUCAUUACUUACAAGAUGUUACAAACACCUCUAACAAAAAAUCAGGGGCUGCCAACUGAAGCUCCCCAAAUCCGGGUCGCAUAGACAGGAUCUCACAGAUUUCUUGUGGCAGGGGGUGAACAAGGAGGCUUUGGCACUGAGGCUGCUGGUGACAGGGCUUUCUACAGAGACCAGAAGAAUCUCUGCUGGCUUCCUGCUGACGCCCCCUAUGCCAAGCUCCUGGCUGGGGCACACAGCCUGGUGUGAUGGUCUGAAAAACUGGUUCUAGCCUCCUGGGAUCAAUGUUCCAUUCCUGGUUCACUUCCAUUUCUGAACAGGUCACGUGAGUGCUUCAGGAGAGAGCCAAGAGAAGGGGUGAGGGAAGCCCAAAACUUGCCUUGGAUGGUCUCUGCCAACACUGUGAAUGUGGCCACUUAAACAAGUUAAGGGACUGGCCAUUCUCCAACUUGUGUAAAAUCCCCAACAUCUUCUCAAACUCCAUGUUGUCUGUAGAACGAAGCCUGCCCUCAGCCAGACGUGAAGGUUCCCAAUAUCUUGAGCCUUCAGCCCCGCCUACUUUCCGUCAUUGCUCUUCACAGAUCCUCUUCCCAGCCAACUGUGUGUUCCCCAGCUUGUUUACGUGGCUUCUCCAGUGGAAACACAGCCACUGUAUCUGCCCAUUCUCACCCCCCUGCCUUUGCCACACAGCACCCUGGAGGAAGCAGAAUGCCCUCCUCAUCCUUUUGGCUUAACCCUCCUCGCCCACCAAGUGUAGGGCAAUCUCACUUCAGCUCAAGCCCCUCUGCUGGAGGAAACACUCCCUGAGCCUACCUGCUCACAGGCAGCUGUCUCUCUGUCACAUUUCAUUGGUGUGCUCUGUGCAGAAUCACAUCACUCUGGAGAUGUUCAUGAUACUUUAUAUGUGUGUUCUUCGUCUCCCCCAACUAGAGUGUAAAUGCUUUGAGACUAGGGAUCAUUGCUUCACAUUCAUGUACAGUCCUAUACAUAAAUCAGUCAACAAUUAGUGGGACUUGAUUACAAUAUAACCAGUUGUCUACUAGUUGGAUCCAGAGUGUAGCUUCUUGCUUAGAACAUGACUUUUGGUGUGAGAAAGACCUCAGUUCAAAUCAUGACUGUGUCAACUCCCAGCUUUGUGACCUGAGGUAAGCAUGUUAAUGUCAUUGGCUUGUGUCCUCAGUUAUGAACGCAGACAGCUAGUGUAACUGACUCCUGGGUUUGUUGUGGCUUUAAGUGAAGUAAUGCAUGUGAGAUGCAUGGUUGGUGCAGUGCCUGACACAUUCAGGACUCAAUAAACAGCACCAGUUAGUAUUUUCUGUUUUUGGGGGGACCGGUGCCCAGAUGCUUCUGCUACAGCAAGAUUCAACAAAUUGCAAAUUAAUGGAGAUGUUGGUUUUAGCGGAGGCAUCCUAGACAGAAUGUUGAAGUGAGUUUAGAAGUAAAACAAGGAGAGAAAUUGGAGGCUAACUCAAUUCUAUUUCUACCAAGUUUUCAACAGCUCACAGAUGGACUCAUUUUUAACUGAUACUCCAGAUAGAGCAGAGCUCUUCCCAGAGGCAGGUGAAGAUUGACUGUGCCUGACUCUGAAAACCUGUACUUGUCACCUGACCUUGAACGUAACAAACAGCCCCUGAGGAAGGUAGUUCCAAUUACAGUCAUGGAGUCGGAGGAACUCUUUCAAGGCAGAUUGAUUUAUUGGACCAGAAAUACAGCUCAACAGCCCACACACCGAUUCUGUCUUUGGCAAUCUGCCCUGCCUGCUUCCUUCUCUCUUGCCCUGACAUAUUGAUCUGUGUGUGUGAGUUGGUGUAGUUUAUUGUAGAGGGGUGUGUGUGUGUGUGUGUGUGUGUGUGUGCUGUCUCAGAAUGGAAGCUCUUAACUUGGGGGCCUUCUUUCUGAGGGAUCUCCAAACCUGAAACCGAAGGAAAUCUCGUUGCAAUUCUCCAUGUGGUAGCUUUAAUUUCAGUCCUUUGCUUCAGGUGGGCCCAGGAUGCUCCAGAAUGCCUCUCAUCCUGUCUGAACACUCUGCUUCUGAGUGAGGCAACAUGUCAUUUUGUAAGGAAGAAGGAAAACUAGUCAUUGUUGUGUGCCUGUGCCAUGCAAAAUAUCACAAUCUGCAUUCAUCAAAAGAAACAGAGACUCAGAGGAGUAAAGAAACUUUCCCAAGUUCAAAUGUCAGUAGAGUCAGGAUCCAAACCCAGAUGUGUCUGACUGUUGACCUCAGUGAUGGCUGAGUCCAGGCUUAGCCCCAUUGAGAGACUUCCAUAUCACAGGAUCAUUUUAAAUGGAAAUAUUUUGAAAAAAAUUUUUUUUUCAACGUUUAUUUUAUUUUUGGGACAGAGAGAGACAGAGCAUGAAUGGGGGAGGGGCAGAGAGAGAGGGAGACACAGAAUCGGAAACAGGCUCCAGGCUCUGAGCCAUCAGCCCAGAGCCUGACGCGGGGCUCGAACUCACGGACCGCGAGAUCGUGACCUGGCUGAAGUCGGACGCCUAACCGACUGCGCCACCCAGGCGCCCCUAAAUGGAAAUAUUUUGAAAUCGAGGUCCACAACUUAAGUUUGUAUCAUCACUUACAUUUUGUACCCAGAUCUGGCUGUUUGACCUCUCUUAUAUUAUAUGCUGCUGUGUAACGAACUACCACAAACUUAAAACAACACCCAUUUAUUAUCUCACAAUUUUUAUAGGUCAGAACUCCAGGCAGGUUUAGUUGGAUCCUCUGCUUAUGGUCUCACAGGGCUGCCAUCCAGGCAUUGGCCAGGGCUGCACUGUCAUCUGGAGACUCAACUGGGGAAGGAUCCAUUUCCCUGCUCACAUGGCUGUUGGCAGCAUUAAGUUCCUUCAGACUAUAGGACUGAGAGCUUAAGGAGUUUGUUGUUGUUGUUAGCUGUUGGCUGGAGGCUGCUCUCAGAUCCUAGAGAUCACCUCAGUUACUUGCCAUGUAGGGAUUCCCAAUGUGGUCCCUGCUUCCCCACAGCCACCAAGGGAGAGAGAGCUUCCUGCAAGAUGGGCAUCAUUAUCUUUUGGUUAGGAGCAAGUCACAGGUCCUGCCCACACUUGGAGGGGUCGCACAAGGGCAUGAACACCAGGAAGUAGGGAACGUGGGUGGAGGCAACUUGAGGGUCUGUCCACCACAUCAUUCUUGUUCUUUCCCCUCUUUUUUUCCUUUCUUACCUUCUCAUCCUAGUCUAGACUCAGAGCUAGGGCUUUGCCAGUUAGUAAGAGCUUUACAGUAAUGAUGCCAAUAAGUAAUAUCAUUUUGUUCCAGGAAAAAAAAAGCUAGUUUCCUUUUUAACUUUCUAUUCAACUAUAACAUACAUACAGAAAACUGUAACAUCCUAAGUGAAGAGCUCCAUGAAUUUUUUGGAGACAACAUAUGCAUGUAACCAUCACUCAAACCAAACAGCAGACUAUUACCAGCACCCCAGAGCCCUCCUCAGUCUCCCUUCCAGUCCCUAACACUCCCAAAGGUGGAUCUCUAACAGCACAGAUUACUUUUUUUCCUUGUUUUUAUACAUUUAAUAAACAGUAUCCCACAGCCUGUAUCAUUUUGUGUCUGGUUUUCUUGACUCAACACAGUAUUGUGGCAUGUGGUUCUAGGUUGUUCAUUUCUCAUUGUUGAAUAGGCUCCCAUUGUGUGGAUAUAGCACAGUUUACUUAUUCAAUCUACUGUUGAUGGGCAUGUAGGUAGUUUCCAGUUUGGAGGUGUUACAAAUAGUGCCACUGUGAUUGGCUUAGUGUGGGUCUUUAAUGAACACACAUACGCAGCACUUCUGUUGGAUAUAUACCAGGACUGGAUUGCUGGAUUGGAGGGCACACAUAUUUUGGUGAGCUAUGUUUAUAUAUAUAAUCCUUCCCUCCCCUCCCCUCUAUGAAGAAGGCAUCUCUAGCCCCUUUACGCACAGCAGCAUGUGACCAGACCUACACUUCCUGCAGAGGUGCUGGAAGAUCAAAGAGGAGGAAAGGCCAACUGGCACUGUGGAGAAAGUGGAGGUCUGGCUCCGGCACUUUUUCACUAUUGACAAUGCUCUUUAUUACUUUUUCUUAAGAGACCCAUUGUUUUGGAAGAUUUCUGCCUACCAAGCUACUAAGCAAAUGUUGUUGGCUCAGUAUCAUUCAAUUCAUCUUCCAGUUCUCUAAUUAGUCAAGGACAUAUCUAACCAGCUACUAAGCUGCUGAUCUGACAACCUGCCUAACAGAGCUGAUGUAAUUUCAGAUAAGGCCAAAGAUAGUCCAGGUUUGGGUUCACCUCUGUAGUCUCCUUACAAGAACGCAGGGUUUCUGUUGGACUAUUGAAACACUGACAACACGCUGCCCUUCCCCUUUGUGAUGUUAAUGGCACUUUAGGGGAGGGAGAUCCCCACCCUCCCACUAAGAAAAUCUCAGACCCUGACCAUGUUUGAAAUCCUGAUUUAUGAUCAAUAAAUAUACAUCAAUGUACAAGUAAUUCACAAGGCAUUGAGAUCCGGCCUGGUUCAUCAUUUUAAACAAAAUGUCAAAGCCCUAUCCAUUUAUUCUGGGCUUGUUCUUAAGCUGAGAUAGGUUGUAUGAAGCUAAUAAGAAACAUUUUCCAAACUGCCACCAAGUGGCCAGAAAGACUUCAGGCUAUUGCUAACAUUUGGGUGUACUUGGUUCUUUCUCAUCUGUCUCUCUGUUUUCUGUUCUUCUCCAUCUUUCUUUUUUUCUUUUUAAUUAUUUUUAAAAAUUUUUAAAUGUUUAUUUUUGAGAAAGAGAGAGAGAGUCAGAGUGUGAGUGGGGGAGGGGCAGCGAGAGAGGGAGACACAGAAUCUGAAGCAGGUUCCAGGCUCUGAGCUGUCAGCACAGAGCCCGACGUGGGGCCCCAACCCAUGAACUGGGAGAUCAUGACCUGCGCUGAAGUCACUUAACCAACUGAGCCACUCAGGUGCCCCCCCACCCCCAUCUCUGUCUUUCUAUCUGCCAGUCUCUCUGUAUCUCUGUCGGUAUAUGUAUGAUGUAUAUGUUAUACAUACAUCUCUUAUACAUAUACGUAGAUGUAUACAUACACAUACAUAUGUAUUAGGGAUACCAUCACAUGCAAUUAUUAUGACUCUUUUAACUAAUUCUCUAUUUUGGGACAUAUAAGCUGUUUCUGAUAUUUUGCCAUUGCAAGUAACACUGCGUGAAUGUGCUUACGCCUAAACCCUUAUGGGCAUCUCUGAUACCUUCCUUAAGGUAGGUGACAAGAGGUUGAAUAACCCACCAAAUGGGUUGACUUCCAGAUGCUCGGUUUUGAAUCCAAUUAUCAAAUACAAAUUUAUGCUGCUGCCAACAAUUUAUGAGAGUGUCUUCUCUGCCCACACUAGUAAUUUUCUAUUACAAUAAUUUUUCUCAAUUUUAUAGGUAAAACAUGAUAGUUUAGUUUUAAUUGCAUUUCAUUGAUUCCUGGUGAGGUUAAAUAUUUUUCAGAUUUGCUGUCCAUUUGAGUUUCUUCUCAUUUGCAUUUCAUGUUCCUUUUUAUUUCACAUUACCCCACCGCCCACAGAAUGCUGCCCUAUGCUCCGACAAGUCUCAUCUCUGCUUUUACCAUGGAGGUAAGUAAUAUCUGCGUCCCACAGAAAACCCAGCAUCGUCCAAUGCUUUGCAGACAGAACAUGUGUGAGAAAAAUGCACAUUCACUAGGCCCGCAGGUGGCUUGGCCAGCCACAUCUGUCAUCUCUCCGACGAGGACGCCUGAAUUCCUCCCAGAGCUAUAAACCUCACUUCUCACCCGGACUCCGGACACCAUCACCCAGGGGCCAUGAGAGCAGGAGGGGCUGGCAUGUUACCUAAUGACUUAACCAGGUGAGGUUCACAUGCACUUCGGGUUUUUACACGAUUGUGCCUCAGAGGAAGUGCUCCCUACUGCUCUGGGGAAACGGGCAAUUGUAAAUCAGGUAACGAUAUGGCACUGACUUAUUUAUCCUUGUAAGAGUUUUAUGUUCUGAAGUCAACAAGGGGCCCAUCGCCAGAUCCACGGCCAAUUUGCAGUCAUCACUUAGGGGAAGCUUGAUCCCCCUUGCUCAGCCGGAGGGCAUGCUGGGGGCUUGUAGGAGCCAAGGUUACCUGUAGUGCCGAGCCAGAUCAAUCGAUCCUGUAUCUUGGUCUGGGCCAAAUGUUAUCUUCCACAGACACAAGGCAGAGACGGGAAGUCACUAAACGGUGGGGAACUUUCCCUCUUUGUGCUAAGAUGCUCUUUCUCUCCUUUCCAUUUGUCCCCUGAGUUCCUUCUCCUUGAGGGAAUGUUUGCCUGGACAGCAGCUGCACCCUGAGAGACGUGAUGGUGACUCAUUCAUGUAGAAGUAGACAUGGUAAAAGAGUAUGUGCUAAAAGACAUGAAUAGACACUCUCCAAAGAAGACAUCCAGAUGGCCAACUGACACAUGAAAAAAUGCUCAACGUCAUUCAUCAUCAGGGAAAUACAAAUCAAAACCACCAUGAGAUACCCCCUUACACCUGUCAGAAUGGCUAAUAUUAACAACUCAGGCAACAACAGAUGUCGGCGAGGAUGUGGAGAGAGAGGAACCCUUUUGCACUGCUGGUGGGAAUGCAAACUGGUGCAGCCACUCUGGAAAACAGUAUGCAGGUUCCUCAAAAAAACUAAAAAUAGAACUACCCUAUGACCCAGCAAUUGCAUUACUAGGUACUUAUCCAACGGAUACAGGUGUGCUGUUUCGAAGGGACACAUGCACCCCAAUGUUUUGUUUUGUUUUUUUUUCCACGUUUAUUUAUUUUUGGGACAGAGAGAGACAGAG